rnacentral:rRNA from 1 species
GAUGAACGCUGGCGGCGUGCCUAAUACAUGCAAGUCGAGCGAACAGACGAGGAGCUUGCUCCUCUGACGUUAGCGGCGGACGGGUGAGUAACACGUGGAUAACCUACCUAUAAGACUGGGAUAACUUCGGGAAACCGGAGCUAAUACCGGAUAAUAUAUUGAACCACAUGGUUCAAUAGUGAAAGACGGUUUUGCUGUAACUUAUAGAUGGAUCCGCGCCGCAUUAGCUAGUUGGUAAGGUAACGGCUUAGCAAGGCAACGAUGCGUAGCCGACCUGAGAGGGUGAUAGGCCACACUGGAAGUGGGACACGGUCCAGAGUCCUACGGGAGGCAGCAGUAGGGAACCGGCCGCAAUGGGCGAAAGCAUGACGGAGCAAGGCGGCGUGAGUGAUGACGGUCUUCGGAUCGGAAUACUCUGUUAUUAGUGAAGAACAAAUGUGUAAGGAACUAUGCACGUCGUGACGGUACCUAAUCAGAAAGCAACGGCUAACUACGUG